rnacentral:rRNA from 1 species
UAACGAAUAUUCCGCAAUGGGCGAAAGCCUGACGGAGCGACGCCGCGUGGAGGACGAAUUCCUUCGGGAUGUAAACUCCUUUUGGGGUGAAGAAAACAAGGAGCGCUAAUACCGCUUUGCGUUGAUCGAUCCCAGAAUAAGCCUGGGCUAAUUCCGUGCCAGCAGCCGCGGUAAGACGGAACAGGCAAGCGUUGUUCGGAAUCGCUGGGCUUAAAGCGCGUGUAGGCGGCCUGGUAAGUACCUUGUGAAAUCCCCCGUCUCAACCGGUGCACGGCUUGGUAGACUGCCGGGCGCGAGGUGGGUAGGGGUGCCUGGAACUCUAGGUGGAGCGGUGAAAUGCGUAGAUAUCUAGAGGAACGCCAGUGGCGAAAGCGGGGCACUGGGCCUUACCUGACGCUGAGGCGCGAAAGCGUGGGUAGCAAACG